AUUUCAGCUGAGUAAGUUUUUAAAAUGUUAGCACUUAGCCGGAACGUGAAGAAGGGAGAGAUACAUGAUGGGGAUAUUAUCAGAUUAUCAAAAUAAAAAUUGGAACAUAUAUUAUCAUUCAGUUAACUUUUUAUAUUUUACUGCUGGCGACUUCUCUACAUUUUGUGUGCUCAUUUGACUGUUGAAGUUGCAUAUCGCCGAGGAUCUUGUAUUCAGAUUUCAUCGAUGACGCACAAAUUGCGAAUAAUUCCUGUUCAUUGAAAAAAUAUACUCAUCCAACGAGAAAAGAAUAAAGCUGCAUCCCUGUGAACAAAUUCUCUCUAAUUAUAAAUGCUGGUAUCGCAAUCACGUGGAAAACGCACACAUAUAAAAGCAUGCCGACGAUGAGUAAGCGGUGAAGAGGAGGGUCGAAUAAAGACAGGAAAGAGGUGGAAGGGGCAGAGAGAGGGUAGCGAAACGUAUAUAAACCUUGCCCGCGUCCUACCUCUCAGUUCUACUUGGAGUUCGGACACGUGAGUUUCCGGAACAAAGCUCGCACGAGGGGAAAGUUUUUGUUUGUUUGGUGCGCUCGUUGUAUGGAGCGAGAGAAGAGUAUAAAACACGGAGAGAGCCCUGUGGAGCCAAUAAGCAGCUGCAGGGACGAACAUGGAUUUGUGCCAACGGUUGGUCGCUGGGGCAACGAAUGGCCGAGUUGACUCGAGACGGCAGAGAUAUGGUGCCAGCCACAGGGGCAGGCACGCGGGCCCUGGAUCAGGGG